CACGUAGGUGGCAAGCGUUAUCCGGAUUUAUUGGGCGUAAAGGGAACGCAGGCGGUCUUUUAAGUCUGAUGUGAAAGCCUUCGGCUUAACCGGAGUAGUGCAUUGGAAACUGGGAGACUUGAGUGCAGAAGAGGAGAGUGAACUCCAUGUGUAGCGGUGAAAUGCGUAGAUAUAUGGAAGAACACCAGUGGCGAAAGCGGCUCUCUGGUCUGUAACUGACGCUGAGGUUCGAAAGCGUGGGUAGCAAACAGG
rnacentral:rRNA from 1 species